UACAUUAACUAGCGUUCUUUUGUUUUCUAUUUAAUCAUGAAGAAACUGGUUAGAUGUUUAGUGCUGAAAGAUGCCCAUAUUGAUUGCCCAUUGGCUCGGCAUUCCCCAUGACUAAGAAGGCCACAACCUUCAGUGCCAAGUACAUUAAUUUAUGCUACUGAUUGGAUGUUCUUUAGAUAUUUUAGUAGAAGAAGAACCUAGAAUAUGAAGACUACACAGAAAAGGUACACAUCUCCUUUCAUUUUUCACUUAAAAUAACUUUUAUGGUAUAGCUUGUGGAAUUUGAAUUGAUUACCUGAUUACCUACUUUUAUGGCAUACCUAUAAUAUGAAGACUACACAGCAAAGGUACACAUCUCAAGCUAUACAUUUUUUGCCAUGUUGGAGUCUGUUUAUCCUAUGGUCAUAUGAACUUGGAAUUCUAGAACUCACUUUUCAAGAUACACACUUUUACGAGUCAUUUUAUAAGUCUCAAACCCACAAAUCAAAUACAAAAUAAAUUUAAGUUCUCUAACCUUUUAUUU